AGCAGCCGCGGUAAUUCCAGCUCCAAUAGCGUAUAUUAAAGUUGUUGCAGUUAAAAAGCUCGUAGUUGAAUUUCGGGAUCAAUAUGUUGGUCGUGCCUCGGUACGUACUAGCUUAUUGGUUUCUCCCUUCUGACGAACCAUGAUGUCAUUUAUUUGGUGUUAUGGGAAAUCAGGACUGUUACUUUGAAAAAAUUAGAGUGUUUAAAGCAGGCUCACGCUUGAAUACAUUAGCAUGGAAUAAUGAAAUAGGACGUUUUGAUUCUAUUUUGUUGGUUUCUAGGAUCGACGUAAUGAUUAAUAGGGAUAGUUGGGGGCAUUAGUAUUCAAUUGUCAGAGGUGAAAUUCUUGGACUUAUUGAAGACUAACUACUGCGAAAGCAUUUGCCAAGGGUGUUUUCAUUAAUCAAGAACGAAAGUUAGGGGAUCGAAGACGAUCAGAUACCGUCGUAGUCUUAACCAUAAACUAUGCCGACUAGGGAUCGGAUGAUGUUAAUUUUUAAUGACUCAUUCGGCGCCUUACG
rnacentral:misc_RNA from 1 species